AUAAUUUCGGCCUAAUGUACUUAUCGUGUGGACUUGUAGGGGUAUAAAUUUAUAUAUGAACCUACCCACGUUGUUUGACAAUAGUACAGAGUAGGCCGCAUACAUGUACUUAUUGUGUGGGAGUUUUUGGGUACAAAGUUUAUCUGUGCCUACCCACGGUGUUUAGCAAUAGUACAGAGUAGGCCGCAUAUAUGUACUUAUUGUGUGGGAGUUUUUGGGUACAAAGUUUAUCUGUGCCUACCCACGGUGUUUAGCAAUAGUACAGAGUAGGCCGCAUAUAUGUACUUAUUGUGUGGGAGUUUUGGGUACAAGUUUAUCUGUGCCUACCCACGUUGUUUGACAAUAGUACAGAGUAGGCCGCAUAUAUGUACUUAUUGUGUGGGAGUUUUGGGUACAAGUUUAUCUGUGCCUACCCACGGUGUUUAACAAUAGAACAGAGUAGGCCGCAUACAUGUACUUAUUGUGUGGGAGUUUUUGGUACAAAGUUUAAAUGUGCCUACCCACGGUGUUUAGCAAUAGUACAGAGUAGGCCGCAUAUAUGUUCUUAUUGUGUGGGAGUCUAGGGUUCAUUAUUUAUUUGUACCUAUCCACAUGUAUAAGAUAAGUACAAGGCUAAGGGUUUCUUUGUACCAGUAACAGUUUAUGUCGUGUUAGAUUUUUUGAUUUGGAGAUUUUUUAAGUUAACACGACUUAAACUGUGGUCGAAGAAAUGAAACUUACCAAGAUCAAUGGCUUAAAUUCUUUGUGCAUUGGCAUACCUAUGUUAAAGGAGUUUGUUCCUAGUAUACUUGUAGAUUUUACAUAUAUACCAAUAAGAGGUAGUUAUGUAUUUGUUUGCACAUUAUGACAUUUGCGUCUAAUGUAGCAGGAUUUCACUUAGUUUAGAGUUACCCGUACGCUUGAUCUUCAUGUUUUGUGCGGAGUUUAUAUGUAUGCAUAUGGGUCGAAGUUAUCCAUAUUUUCACUGUUUUGUUUUAAAGUAUAUGUGCCCUAUUACAUCUAAACAUAAUGGCAACUUCAUUUCAUGUUCAUUGCAGUCAAUUUCAAGUAAGAGUAUCACAAUAGUUCUUAGUUGUUACAAAGUACGUGUUACAAAUAGUGGUAUCUCCUAUACAUGUGACAUUUUUAUCUUUUGUUAUGGAGUUAAUAGAUUUAUUCUUUAAUAUUUCGUUUGAUGAAAUUGGUAGAAUCCCGGAACAUGUAGAUUUUCGUCAAAGCGAAUCCUCUUAGCAGAGAAUUAAUCGAUUAUUAUCAGUAUGAUUGUAAUACAAUAUAUAUUGCUAUCAAGGUUAGUCUACAGGAAAAAGUUUACUCUUUCUGUUCAAGGUUGUUACAUUUAGUUUUUCUAUGAGCAUGAUAAUGUACAUGAUGUAUCACUUUGUUUACAACUCAGUUGUUGGUUUUUGGCGUCCUUUCUUUAAAUGACACCUUAGACUUAAAAAGUAUUCAUAUAAUUUUCAUGUUUAAGUUGCAGAUGCCUUUUGAUGAAUUUGCCAGUGUGCAUAUUUGCUACAUCCUAGCAGCCCGAGUGUAGAGGAAGCGUAGCUAUAACUGUUAAUAGCCCAGAGAGCCUAGCAGAAUUGUGCCGGAUGCCAUGAAUCUAAUGUUAUUGAUACAGGUUUGAUCUGUUUAACAAAUAUUGACUUAGCGAGCUGUUUUAUCUAACAAAUUGCAUAAGAUCCGCGCCACCGGUGGAUAAUGUCCUAAACCAGCCCGUCCACUAGUGUUAUUCCAGAUACAAUUUGACUUUACCAACAACUUUCAUGCGAUCAGCCGGUAUAAGAUCCAUAUGUUUGCUAGCUAAACUGCUGCAGUGCUGCUACAGGUGUGCCCCAAAUCAGCCGUGUAAUCAGGAUAUCCACUAGCGUUGGUUCACAAAGCAUCCAUACCAGCUAGAUCAUUCAAUUUGGUUUCAAAUAAAACAUUUACAGGCUAGUCAGCAAGUAAAUAAUAUAGGAAGAUCCCCCCUCCAUAAAAUUUCAAAUAAGUUCCCUAUAUAGCUGGUAAAUAUAGGUUUAAUUUAUUUUUAUAAAUUAGUACAGACCCCAUGCACGGUCAGUACAUUAAAUGAAAGGAUUUUCAAUUUACGUCCCUUUUCGGAAAUUAAGCAUUGUCAGGCUAGAAUACAAUAAUAAUAAUAAUAAUAAUAAUAAAUUAUUUUAAAAAGUUUCUAAUAGACAGCAUAAUGUAGGACAUUGUUUGGAGUUACUAGCUCAUGUUGUACAUUGUACGUUUCUGCGGUCUUUAUCUUUAAAUAUUAAUUUGCUUUAAUAAACCCCAUGUAAAAUUUUCUCCAACAUAUUUUUAUAUAAAAAUUCUAUUAAUUUUCGGUCUUGUUUGACAUCUGUAGUUGAAAGAUAAUCGUUUUCUUUUGAUAUUUAGGAAAGGCAUUUUUGCACAUGGUGGCAGUAUUUCAUUCUUGACAUCUCUUUCCUGUCUGACGAUAGCAAUGUUAUUAACUCAAUCUUGUUAUCAAAUUUAUGGUUACAUCCUAGGAUUGCGUUCUUUGAAUUUGCUAUGCUUCGCUCUACCUAAUUUCAGUGUGGUAAAUUAAUGUCUUACAGAUUCCCUAUGUUCAUGAUAUUUUCUAUCCUUAAUUUUAAUUGGCCGGUCAGUAUGAAAGUAGGCAGAGUUGUCAAAGAACAGAUUUGUGAGUUUGUAAGGAAGGCAAUCUAGGAACAUUCUUGUGUUAUUCAGUUUUGUAGUCUAUCUACGAAAUUUGUUCCAAAUUAUAUUUGUGAAAUUUAGAUUUUUGGACUUACAAUAAAUUCUAAACUUUAGAACCGACUUUUCAAUUGACACAAUAUUACAUGGUGAACUUAGUAUAAUCCAGGAAUUUUACAUUCAAUUCAAAACGCUUAGGAACAUAAUAAUUUAACCUUCACUGUGUACAACUUCUUUAUACUUUCUGGAAUAGAAGUAUGGUAGAUUCCUCCAUGAAAAGGGCAUACUUCAUGGAAUUAAUGGAUACACUCUUUUGGGUCAGACAGUUCCAAGAGAAAGGGCUGUUAUGCAAAUAUUUUGGGGUUGUUUAUAUUUGUUGAAUUUCUGAUACAAAUCUUUAAAAUAUUACAAUUUGGAAGAUACUCUUAAUGGUUUACAAAAAAUAAAUAAAUAAAUAAAUAAAUAAAUAAAAUAAACACUCACUUAUAUAAAGUUAAAUAAUUCAAGGUUGUAGUAAGUAGAAUGAUAUCUGACCUAGUGUCCUACACAUGAGCACUCUCAACAUGAUUCUUCUUCAAUCAUGUAUUUUUCAUAAUUCUCUCAAUAUCAAUUUAUUAUACAUGUUUUGUGGAACUUAAGUAUGUACAGUAAUUUAAUUGUACCUUGAUAUCAAAAGGAGAGAACUAAUACAGGCCCUUGGCCUGCUGUUCAAUCCAUAUUCAUAUUGUACACUUUGUAUAUUAUGAAUAAAAUACUUCUUUUACUAAAAGCAUUCUCACUCAUCACUAGGUUGAAUUUGUCAAAAUUUAAGUUUGUUGACAUAAUAGAUCUCAACCAUUAAUCCUGAUAAUAAUUGAAACUACUAAAUUAACAAAGUGCUACACAUCAUUUAGAUAAUUCAUUAAGAUAUGUUUCACAUUGUCAUUGUCAGGGACAGAUCUGGAAAUAUGCAUGCUCUCGAUAGAUAGCCCCCGGCCGCUAGCAUAAUAUAAUAAUUUUUCAAAGCAGGGAAAUCUGUAAGUCUGGAUCUUUUGCAAAUGUGUAUAUGGUAAGCUACUCAUGAGACACAGACAAACUGUUCAGAAAUCUCUAUUAGGAUUUUGAAGGACAACAGUUCAAAUGCAUUGCAUAGAUAUAUUUGCUUAAAAUCACUUAAACUUAAUAAGUUCACAUAAUCUGUAACAUACAAGAAUGAAGAUCAAAUAUUGGUCAAUGGUAAUUAUUGUUUUGUUCUUCUUAAAAAAAAACAAAAAAUAAAUAAAUAAAUAAAAAAUAAUAAUAAUAUCAAUAAAAAUCUAGCAUUUAAUAGCUGUUUUUGUUCUACUCCCAUUAGUCCGAUUCUAGAAUGUAGUUUAAUUGCGAGUCAGUGUUUAACUGCAGUUCUGUUCUAUUCAUGAUAAAUAGUUAGAUACUAGGAUGUAUUUAAAUACAGGUCAGUGAUUUAACUGCUGUUUUGUUCUACUCGUGAAAAUUAGUUAGAUAUUAGGAUGUAAUUUAAAUGCAGGUCAGUGAUUUAACUGCUGUUUUGUUAUACUCGCGAUAAAUAUUUUGAUACUCACUAAAGAUGUAAUGUAAAUACAGGUCAGUUAUUUAACUGCUGUUUUUGUUCUACUCUUACAAUUAAAAAUACCUUAAGGAACAUGUUCAUUCCCACAUUGACAGGUCAGUGAAUAACUGCUGUUGGAUAUCUAAAUACUCCUCAUCUGACUUCGUUACUUGCUGGCUCAAUAAACAAUACUUUUCGAUUUGUCAUUUAAUUACUCUGAAAUUAGUUUUCUUCCAUACUUACAUGUAUUACUCAAUAUCGUUAUUUAUUAACAUUGCUCGGAUAUUAUAUCAAUACAGGUAUUUCCUUCAUUAUAUGACAUGUAACUACAUUUUCGUGAUAACUGGUAACGGAAUAAUUAAUGAAAGGUAGAUUUUUAUUUUUCAUUUCAUUACUUUAAGUUGAAAUGUGUGGAGAGGCCAGUGAUUAACUGCCUUCAUAUAGAUUUGAUGUGUGCAAGCUCACCUUGGAUGGCACGGAUGUGAUUUACAUGUCACAUCUUACAUGGAUGUGACCUGCAUAUCACAUCUUGUGGCCUAUUUUGUUUUGAUGUGCCAUCUAUUUGCUAACUUUUUAAUAUGAUGUUUUGAUUGUCUUGUCUUACAGAUACUUUUUUCUAGUCAUUUUUGGGGGAUCAGACAUUAUCAUAUUUUACGUAACUGAUAAGCAAAGCUUGUGAAUCUGAUCCCCCUUCUUGUUUGUUAAAUUGUUCACAUUUAUAUCGUCAUUUUAAUAAAUGACAUUAUUCAUCAACAUGAAAAUACUUUUUUCUAGUCAUUUUUGGGGGAUCAGACAUUAUCAUAUUUUACGUAACUGAUAAGCAAAGCUUGUGAAUCUGAUCCCCCUUCUUGUUUGUUAAAUUGUUCACAUUUAUAUCGUCAUUUUAAUAAAUGACAUUAUUCAUCAACAUGAAA